AAUUUUGGACAAUGGGGGAAACCCUGAUCCAGCAAUGCCGCGUGCAGGAUGAAGGCCNNNGGGUUNUCAACUGCUUUUGUACGNAACNAAAAGUCUUGGGCUAAUACCCUGGGAUCAUGUCGGUACCGUAAGAAUAAGCACCGGCUACCUACGUGCCAGCAGCCGCGGUAAUACGUAGGGUGCAAGCGUUAAUCGGAAUUACUGGGCGUAAAGCGUGCGCAGGCGGUUUUGUAAGACAGUGGUGAAAUCCCCGGGCUCAACCUGGGAACUGCCAUUGUGACUGCAAGGCUGGAGUGCGGCAGAGGGGGAUGGAAUUCCGCGUGUAGCAGUGAAAUGCGUAGAUAUGCGGAGGAACACCGAUGGCGAAGGCAAUCCCCUGGGCCUGCACUGACGCUCAUGCACGAAAGCGUGGGGAGCAAACGGG
rnacentral:rRNA from 1 species